UGGUAAACAUAUAUAGCAUUAGAUAAUUAAUCUCACAGUUGGUCAUAUUAUGAUGCUCAGUAAGGUUAAUAAGUUAUACGGUAAAAUUUUAUGUCUUUGUCGUGCUUCUCAGAAAAGAUAAUGGUAAUAGCAAUAAUAUGCCACUAUUUAUGAAGAAAAACAUUUGUAUGUACUGUAUUUGCAGCACUUAGUUGCAUGGUUCUCUUCGUUCUUUAAAAAAUAUAGGUUAACUUGAGCUAAUUUAUUAGCAUGUGUAUGAGCAUAGUUACGAGGCAUCCAAAGCAAGGAGAGGAUGGGAUGGACAGAACAAUUUCCAAAUUUGACCAGUAUUUGGUCAGGCAAGGUGGUGCUAGCUUAACUCAUGAAUAAGGGAACACUAUAUCAAGGUUGUGAAGAAGGCUGCCAUCGAGAUAAAGAGUGAGCACCCCAAGGGUUAAUUUGUGGCGUAGAAGGAAUGGCAUGUAGGUAGUUAUCCCCCAUGGGCACAUAGACCAGGAUACAUUUUAUCUCAGGAUAUAGGAAACACAGAAGAGGUGAGCUAAGAUGUUCAAGCUGGAGAAUGUUCUCCAAUGGGAUGAACAAUGAAGGCUUUCAUGUCAAGUGCGAGAACGAUGAAACAAUCUUGCUGGAAACCUGCGAGGAUGGGUAGUAGCUGCCCACUACAAGGAGCCAAGGUAGAUGAUGUUUUGCAGAAAACAAAGUGAUGAACUAUCAUGUUUCCUCUAUUUAAUUAGUUACAUUAGUUUAUUUAUAGGAAACUUAGCUGGUCAUUGGUUCAUAACAAAUGAACUAUUUAUAUGUGAAAAUUAAUGAA